rnacentral:lncRNA from 1 species
UCCUUCUUAUUCUUUGCCAGGUUAGCUUGGCCUGCCGGUUAACUGAGAUUAGUGUAAAGUGUCCUUAACAAAAAUCUCCAGCCUUCCAAACUGCCGAAAGUAGGUUGGGGAGGGGAAAAGAGACAGGAGAAAUUACCAGGAAGAGAGUCUGGUAAACAAAAGUUUCCUGGUCGAAACAUGUGCGUGGGAGUCAUGUGUAGGAAGUUUUAUCUGGAUAUGAGUUUGUUGGAGACGUUAGGUUUGAGAAAACUUUCCAUCUCCCCCUUUUUCCUGAAUAGAUAUAAAGCCAACAUUUGCCUUAAUUUAGGAGACAGUGUGAUUUGCUAACCUGUGACACUGAUUGUUUCGUGUUGUCAUUCACCACCGCUUUUUUAAAAGUCAAACAUCAAUUUGGAACAAAUCCAUCACUGAGGUGCACUUAUUUAAUAGUGAAAGUCUACUCGAAGUCACCCCCAACCACAUUUUCUUUGGCAAAAUGACCCACCCACCCGGGACUGGGGCGGAUAAACGCGUCUUCCAAGAAACAGCAACCGCUAGCUGGGGGAAGUGCGGGUGAGCGGUGCUGCGCUUUGCUGAAUUCUUGCCCAGGCGUUUGGAGUUCGGAAGCUCGAGAUCAAAUUCUUACUGGUCGUGUUCAGGAAGUUUUCGAUGCCUGCAACCCAGCCUCUGCGGGGCCAGAGGGCCUCCAACUCCUGGCUGCAAGCGGUUCCGGGGACAGAACAUUCCUUCCGGCUCCGACCCCAGCGCGACCCCCGGGGCUGAGUGUCACUCACGAAGUGACUCACCGGGAGCCGCCGCCCGCACUGUACUUACUUCACUGUCGGCGACGGCGGGCGCAGCGGAACCGACCUGAGCCCUGGUCCCUCGACCACUCUGUCCAGGACCAGCCACCAGCAGCCGGCCCCUCUCACUUCCUGAGUAAAUGUUCCCAAGUGUCCCCGAGUUUACGCAGCCCCACCCUGGGUCCGGUCCCCCCUCGUCGGAAGCAAACGCAGAAAGCCAGAUUGACGUUAGCACCCCUGGUUUGAAAAUGUGCCUGAGCAGCGGUAAUGGCCAGAGAGGAUUCAGAUAGCACAGCUGCCAGCACCGGACCCGUGCGCCCCGGCUGUGCUACGGGAGACUUCUUUGCAACUACUUUGAGCCCAAGACGUUUUCUUACAAAACUGUUGAGGGAGAAAUAAAUUAGACAGAGGAUUUCCCUCCCGCUUUUAUAUUCUCAGCAAUAACUUCUUUCUAGCUUUUCUUUCCGUGUCUCACUGGAACGUUGUGUUUGUUCUUCGAAGUGACUUAUUCGCUCUUAAUUUGAUAAUCUAAUCCAUUUAUUUUAAACUUCUAAAACAUGAGAACAAAUAUAUUUCUGAGCACUAGCCCGACUCUAUUUGGAAAUGUGAGGAGAAAAUAGUGUCUCCGUAGGGAGUGUCUUCAAAUUUUAUGUUAUUUAGGUGGAAAAUUCAUGUUGUAUAGGUGUGUGUUGGGCGAACUGUAGCUCCCAUGUGGCUAACUUCAGGCUUGCCUGGGUGUGAGUCUUUCAGUGUUUUAAGGAUUUUGACAAUCCCAAUAUAAAAGGUCCCUGUCCUGA